GGUGAACAACCAUCCCAAUUUUCCUAGGACUGAUGGGAUUUCUGGAAGUUGAAUGAAUCAGGGAGUUCGGUAGAGCUUAUUAUGAAGACCAGCAGUGACCCUCUGGCCCCAACUUUCUGUCAUCUCUACCUUCUCAGAAGUCAGUUGUUCCAGCUCUUAGAAGGUCUCCUCCUGAUCCAGAACGGCUGAUGAAGCUCAGUCGUUGUAUCUGUGUUCUCAAAAAG
rnacentral:lncRNA from 1 species